CUCAUGCCUAUCUUCUUGCUAAAUACUCCCAGGUUCUAGUGGCAGCUAAUGAACACAUGCUUAGUAAGCGUUUACUCAAUGCCCUGUGUUACUGGGGGUUGCAAGGUCGGGGGGAGUAAGAUAUAAUAUUAGCAUCAGGACAGUGAUAAUUUAGUUUUUGGGUGCAAGACAAACAAGAGCCAAAGACAAGGAAAUGUGACAAUAUAAUCAUACAAUAAAUGUAAAUGAUAGCAUCCUGGCCACUCGUAUUGUAGCAAUCCGAAGAAAGGAGGUGAAUGAGUAUUAGAAUAGUCAGGGAAGACAUCAAAGAAAAGAUAUAACGGUCAAGAUGGUGCUGUGAGCAGACGUUGAACUUGUCUCCUCCCACGAGCACAACCAGGUUACAACAAUUUUGGGAAGAAUCACCCUGGAUUGAAAACUGAAAACUGGAUAAAAAGAACCCCCACAACAAGGGACAGUCCUGACGAAAGCAGAAGAGGCAGUAACUCCGGCAGGAGAGGAAAAAAGCCACCUUUGGGAGCAGCGGAGAUUCUCAGCUGGCCAGGCGGGAGCCACCCUAAGCUACUCCUCUGCUCAGGAUUAUGACCACUGAAAUACUUUAUCUUCUCUUCCUCCGGCUUUAUGGUUGAGAGAUUUUAUACUGCUUAUCAGGUAAACCUUAUGCUAUCUAUACCGAGGGUGUAUUUAUUUAUUUUGCUCACUUUCCCUUGAGUCUUAAUUUGAAUAGAAACAUCUGUUUAAUGGACUAAAAGACGCUUUGUCUUUUGCUUCAGCGUUGGUUCAGGUUCAUAUGACCAGCCACAUUAAGGAAAAGAACAAACUGAAACCGGAAGAGAGGCGUUAGAAGUGUUGGAAAAUCACAAGAGUCGCUCUGCCCUUUUCGCAGACAGAUAAAAAAUUUUUUGGAAGGAUAAUUUGUCGACAUAUUGAUUCAUUGAAAUAUUAAUAUUGAAAAGGUAAUUCAUUUAAUAUUAAUGAAUUAAUUAUUUUUCCCCUCGCUCCACAACUCAUUUCAAGGUAGCUUGGAUCUUUAAUUUCUUGUGUCCAGGCUUUUGGAAUGCACAGAUCUUUCAAGUCUCAGUUCUUUGAAAAGUUCUUUGUAAAGCUUAAGUCCUUUGCAGAGGAGACGGAGGCUGCCUCUGAGGCACCGUAAGAAGUGAAGAGACGUUCCUAGGGGCUCCAAAGAACUCCAUGUCUGACGUUCCAAAGGGCGCAGAGGUCUGUGAGUUUGGAGAGUGGUGUGGGACUGUGCUGUCUCCCACCGCAUCCCCAGUGGGUGGUCAGACCUCAGUGGUGUGAGUCUGUAGGGCACCUAUUGAGAAUCAGCACUGGGCACCUGGCGUUCUAGACACACCAAAGGCGACAGUGUGUUCCAAAACACGCAGGGCCACAAAACUCAAAGAGACCCAACAGGAAAGAAAAUGAGGGUGUCUUGUCAAUGAUCAAGACUGUUCCCCGAAGUUGUGACCCUUCCUAAGCCCGAAGACCUUAAGGUGGCCCUGUGAAAAGGAACCGAUGCCCA
rnacentral:lncRNA from 1 species